AUGAGUGAAAAGGAAGGUGGUAAUAUCCGACCUGAUCACUACAUGCGGGAUUUCAGAGAUUGCAUCGAGGACUGCGGGUUACAGGAAGUGAUGAUGAUUGGUGAUACUUUCACAUGGAGCCGAGGAGCUGUUAGAGAGCGUCUUGACAGGGCUCUGUGCAACGAGAUGUGGGCAGAAAAUUUUCCUUAUGCGGCCUUAGUGCAUGAACAUCAUAUCCACUCGGACCACAGGCCUAUUUUGCUUGACACUGAGUAUUUCAAAGGGCUCAUGGGGCAACAGCAAAAUCGGAAACGAAUGUUUGAAGCCCGCUGGUUGGACGAAGGGACAGUGAACGAGAUUAUCAAUUCGGCUUGGGAGCGUGCCAAGUUAGCUGGAUUAGGUCCCUCCCUAGAGGACCGCACAAAGGCUGUGCUGAAUGAUUUGCACGAGUGGGAUCGUGAGACCCUCAAGAGUCCCAAGAAGAGAAUAAAUAAGUUAAAGAAAGACUUGAAGAAGGUCAGGAGGGGGCCGAACACUGCUGAGAGCCGGCAGAAAAUGAAAGAUAUCCAGGUUUUGAUUGAAAACCUGCUGGAUCAAGAAGAGCAUAUCUGGUUCUAA
rnacentral:rRNA from 1 species